UACAGAGGUCCCGAGCGUUGUUCGGAUUCACUGGGCGUAAAGGGUGCGUAGGUGGUCGGGUAAGUCUGAGGUGAAAUCUCCGAGCCCAACUCGGAAACUGCCUUGGAUACUAUUCGGCUAGAGGGUUGGAGGGGGGACUGGAAUUCCCGGUGUAGCAGUGAAAUGCGUAGAUAUCGAGAGGAACACCAGUGGCGAAGGCGAGUCCCUGGACAACUCCUGACACUGAGGCACGAAAGCUAGGGGAGCAAACAGG
rnacentral:rRNA from 1 species